rnacentral:misc_RNA from 1 species
UCGAUUCCGGAUGUGCUGGCAUUAAAAAAUGCAUUGUGCACUCUGAUAAUACCUUCUACCCUUGUGCACUAUUUUGUAGGCCUAAUGAAAGAGAAGUCUUGUAGCAAUACAAUUCAUCUCAAGUAAUUGUGUCUAUGAUUUUUAUUACACUCUUUUAACUUGUAAAGAAUGUUCAAGUAGACUUCUUAAAGUCGAAAUUAUAAAA